rnacentral:rRNA from 1 species
UGCAGUCGACGGUAGUUUCACUUCGGUUGGAAUGAGAGUGGCGCACGGGUGCGUAACGCGUAUGCAACCUACCCUUUACAGGGGGAUAGCCCGGAGAAAUCCGGAUUAAUACCCCAUAGUAUUAUUGAAUCGCAUGGUUUAAUAAUUAAAGAUUUAUCGGUAAAGGAUGGGCAUGCGUCUGAUUAGUUAGUUGGUAGUGUAACGGACUACCAAGGCAAUGAUCAGUAGGGGUUCUGAGAGGAUGAUCCCCCACACUGGCACUGAGAUACGGGCCAGACUCCUACGGGAGGCAGCAGUAGGGAAUAUUGGUCAAUGGGCGAGAGCCUGAACCAGCCAUGCCGCGUGCAGGAAGACGGCCUUCUGGGUUGUAAACUGCUUUUAUCAGGGAACAAAAAGGCCAUGCGUGGCAAAUUGCGUGUACCUGAAGAAUAAGCACCGGCUAACUCCGUGCCAGCUGCC